GUAAGAAAAAGUGGCAAGAACUCGAGAGUCGAGAUUUAUUGUGGCCACUCACACCGAGCAAGGAGAUGCUUUGUUAAUUGUUAGACUCGUAGUUUCAGCAAAUAUUCGUCUGCUAGACAGAGAAAGCGUUAAGCGUGUCACGAAAUUCUUUACUGUGUCGUGUUCUUUAUUCUCAUUCUUUACUAUUCAUGAAAAAAGGUAUAAAGUAACAUAAAAAUGUCAUGUGGCCAACAUUAUAAAUUUCGCGGUUUCUUUAGAGACUUAUACAUUUCGAAGGAUUUUUUAUUUGUUUUAAAAAGGCAGGGAAAGAAUUGUGCAAUGAAGGUGUAUUGUUGCUUUACAUUUUCACCACCAGUAGCCUAUGUUUCACCGAGAGAAAUUGUCAUUGGAAUUCAGAUUUCAGAAGAGCCAAACUACUGAACUAGAGACCAUGCAGUUAAAAGUUGAUCAUGCAAAAUUUGCAUUUUUAAAGAAAUGUGAGCAUUGGGCUGAUAAGUCUAAUAAGGUUUCUUAUAGUUCCUUUCAACUGCAUUCAUGUCAUGUUAGACUUCAGCUAAUAUUUUCAUCUCUUUUAAAGAUUUAUUUGAAACUUCUUCCUCAUUGGAACUUGAAUAUGCAUGAUUUGAGUAAAACACGUAGAGAAAACUUGUAUAGUGUUAUUGGAAUUUCUGUACUGAAAUUGUGAAGUAAUUUUCGCUUUUGUCCUACAGUAGUAGCCUAUGUCAGCAAUAUAGCUCAUAAUGUGUUAGAUUUUUCAGUGUGCUUAAUUGUCUACUUCCAGUUUUUUAAAGAUUUAAUAAUUCAAUAAGUAUUGCCAAAAAGAACCAAUUAUCCAUGAUCCUCAUACGCAACCGCAAUUGCUACCUGUAAGUCGAAAAAAGCAUCACACAUCCCUACCUCCUACUACCACUGCUCUUAAUUACAACACGGAGUUUUCAUCUUGAGAUUGAUUGGCAGUUUCUUCAGGAAGACGAGAAGAAGGAGAUGAUGAUUUUGCCAAGGAGAAUAUUGAGUUAGUAUUUUUCUUUGGAUCUAGAAUCUAGAUGGCUAUAUCCUAUAUCCUUAAGAUGAAUCUCCAAUUCAACACACUACGGCCAAAUGGUUAUGGGACCAAGAAUUUAUUCGCAAUUUUAGUGUCGCCGAUUCGCCAAUUAUUUUUUCUGCCAUUUGCAUCGCAUCGGACUCGAACAUUACCGCAAUGAACCGAAACUAGAACUCUAUUAUGUUGCCAGAAGGGACAAAAGACCAGGAGAUCGUGUCUUUGUGAGAAUGGUCCUAGUUCCCCCCAGUCAGUCAAGUUGAACAAAUUGCGUCGGAGCCGGGAACUUAUUGUGGUUAUUCCAUGGAAAUUGGUAGAUUUGGAAGUCGACGAGUAGUUUGGUUCGUGGAUCGAAUCAUUCGUUCGACUGAAAUGUAUCUCUGUUCUCUCGGAUAACCCGGCUCAACAACUCACAUAUCUCGUCCAGGAUCAACUCGCUUAUUCACUCAUUUGGGGAUCCAGCGAAGAAAACCUUUAUUCCGCAGCGAAAUUUUCCAAUGUCGUACCAUACGAGGUCGUCAGAAUUCAGCAUAGGAAAAAUCCACACUGCUUCGGUCAAUUUGCUGGACAGUAUUCCGGUAAUUGGUAAAAGAUUCGUUAGGGUGCGCAUAAAGUCGCAUUUCCGACUUAUGCGUCAGACAGUUGGCGUAUUGGCCCAGCCAAAACCAUCUUAGCCAACGGCAUGGGCAAUAGUAACAAUUGUUCCAUGAUCGCUGGAAAUCUGAUUGACGGCGAUGGGUUCUUCGGUUCUUCCACAUCUAGUUUUAGUGAUGGUUUUGCCAUCUCUCAUUUAUCGGUCUAUUACAGCAGUAACAACGCUCGAGAAACAACGGCGUACAAGAUUGUCCCACGUUUACCUUGGUCUGUGUAUCUCAGGGGUGUUUUGUUUUCUUUUAAAUGUUACAGGACAUUAGUGUACGUAAGAACAGACAGUCAUGGGAAAUGGUAGGAGAUAACAUGGAGGGGGACAUGAGAAGAGAAUAGGAGUCAAACCCAGAACCUUCAAAACUAGGUGCAAUAGAAAAAACAAGAACGAAUUAUAAGGCAAUCUUCCAAAAAUCGCUCACGCUGUGGGUUCAUUUCGGCACCUCGGAUGAAAAGGAACGAAAACUUUAGAGCGGAAUCACCCAAAUGUUUCUCAAAAGAUUGCUGACCCUCUGGACUCUGAUAAUCGCCAUCGAAUCAGAUUCUGCUAAUUUUGCCUUGUAACGCUUUCUUGUUUGUACUUUUACAUUUUGAUUUAUUGUAACAUUUCCGGAUUCGAAUUGAAUUCAAAAGCAAGGUUUUUCUCAUGUUUAUUGUUAAUUAUUUCACAUCCGGUUCAAAGAUUCAAUCACUCUGAUUCAAUUAUUAAUUCUGAAUAUUCUGAUAAUUCUGUUAAAUUUUUGCAUGUAAAUUUAGGAUUUUGUGUGGCAACCCCGAAUGUUUUGUUUUUUGUCUUGUAAGCAUACUUCUAAGCUUAAUUGUUUUGUUCAGUCAGCAGGGCAGUUUCAGUUAAUACAACUCGU